rnacentral:rRNA from 1 species
GACGUAGGGGGCGAGCGUUGUCCGGAUUUAUUGGGCGUAAAGCGUGCGUAGGCGGCUGCGCAAGUCGGGUGUGAAACCCCGGGGCUCAACCCCGGAACUGCAUCCGAUACUGCGUGGCUAGAGGUAGGUAGGGGAGAUCGGAAUUCCUGGUGUAGCGGUGAAAUGCGCAGAUAUCAGGAGGAACACCGGUGGCGAAGGCGGAUCUCUGGGCCUUACCUGACGCUCAGGCAGCGAAAGCUAGGGGAGCGAACAGG